UUCACAGUUUUUGGGAUAUUUUUUUACCCUACUUCGCGUGCUGCCACGUGUUUUUCGCUGUUAUAUUCGGUCUCCAUGUGUAUUUUGGGGGACACGUUGCUAUUUGGCAGUAUUUUCUGUCCUCUCAGUUCUGCCUUAUGUGUGUGGUUUCGGGUGAGUGUAGUGUUUCUUUGUUACUGUGCUGAUGACGCCGGGUGGGCCCGUCUGGGACGUCGACUGCUGCGACCGCCGCUUGACCACUUUUCUGGCCGGCUCCUCUCUUCCCUUUUUUUUUUUCUCCUGCGCCUCUUUUCUUUCUUCCUCAGUUUUGCCACUGGGUGCCCCGUCCUCUCUCUGCUUCAAUUUGCCUCCAAUGGCGAGGGGAUCGGCGCGCCCACCUCUUUCCGUCCGCGCCACGCGGCCGGGGCCGUCCUCAUUCAGGGACCAGCGGCGACGAUGGAGCUGCAGCUGCGUGCGCCGGCGCGGGUGUAUUCGCCUGACCCUGAUUGGUACAUCCACUGAGGGAGGGCGGUUCUAGGCGGCGGCCAGCAGAGUCCGCGAGCGAGCAACCCAGUGGCGGUAUGCGGCCAGAUACUGGAUGUGCGCACUCCAGCCAUCUGUCCCGCAACGGAUGGAUUCACUGUAGCGGUUGGAUUGCCGCCAGGGAGGAGCGGCCGACAGGGAUGGCCGGCAGCGACCGGUUGUGGUGCACACCACCGUCCUCCUCCCCUUUACCCGCAAGUCUGGGUGCGCGCAUCUCCGUCGCCUCGGCCUCGCCGUCGCGGCGCCCCGCCCCUUCUCGGCGUACGCGCCCACUGCCGAUUUGACGAGCUGAGGAUCUUCUCACCGUCGAGUCCACCUGUGUGCAGCUCCGAUGCGCCGGCCUCGCCGUCGCGGCGACCUGCCUCCUCUCGGCGUGUGCGCCCGCGGCCAAUUUGACGAGGUGAGGAUCUGCUCACCGCCUGGGAUCUCGAUCUGCCCCGCUUGCCGUCUCCUGCCUUGGCGCCCCGGUGCCCCGGCGAGCUCGCACUCGCGGAGGAUGUCGUCCUUGCCCAUCAGCGCUGUUUCAUCAGCGCGUGUCUCCCGCUGGAGGUACUACACGCUCAGCGAGUUCGCCAGCGGCGUUCGACUCCGCGGACGGAGCGAGGAGAACCUGCUUUGUACGUAACCUCCUCUCCUGCGCGACCAACUUCAGGAUGAAGUCCCUGCAUCGAUUUCCUAGAUUCCGGGCAGACUUCACCGCCGGCAUGCUGCACUUACCUUACUGCUGCCGAGCUUCUUUUUCUUCUCUGACAUGUUCUUGAUUUGCCUCCCUUCGUAUCCGAAUAAUGGUCUUGCCCAGAACAUGUUCGUUUGAAUGGCCAGCAAUUUGGGCAUGGAUGAUUGCCGGGUGAAUUCUCUGUUUAUCUGGUUUGAUUCGUUUGGAUCGGAGGUAGUCUGAAGUGUAUCCAUGAGUGAUUUACUGGAAGCAUCUCUAUAUAUACUUUUUUCAUACUACAGUUCUAAUCAAGAGUUAGGAUGGUCCUUCUACUGAACAAUAGAGUUCUCCUAUUUUAAAACAGGUCGGCAGAACCUAUUUUAAAAUCAGCAUUUGUCUUGAAUGAAAGUUCUCAUUUUAUUUUCAUGACAUAUCUUAGAAGUACUUUUCUUUGGCAUGUUACGUCAUCCUGAUUAGAAUUUUCCCCCACUGAAUCAGACCUGAAAUGUAUCAUUUCAUAUGCUAAUUUUGUGUGUGUGUGUGUGUGUCUUUCAUAAUAUGAAUUUCAAUCAGUGCAGAUGUGGUGUGCGAUGGUCCAUUAAGAAUAUGAGAUGGAUUGGUGUUCUCAAGGACGUUUUCGGUCCGUAUGUUAGCUUAUGCAUUGUUCCUGGUACUCUGUCCAGCAAAAUGCUCAGAAGCCGUAAUUAAAGUUCUUUAUGGCAAAGAACUUUCAUAUGUGGUUAUUUUCAUGCUGAAGCGCUAGAUAUUGGUGGUCUGCUAGGACAUAACACAGGAAGCUAAAGAGUUGUGCCUCCCCAAGGCCGUUUAGGUCUUCCUUUGAAGGUAGAACAUCCGGGUCAAUACAGUGAACUGUGUCCAUAAAUCCUUAGGCUCUGAUAUGGCACUACAGUAAAAAACAUACUCCACCGACUCUUAGCUCAUGACACCCAAAGCAGCGGAGAAAAGUUGCACUGCUCACCGUUAUACACACCGGCAAUUGUAUCAAAGCCGAUGCAAGAUCCGCAGCAUUUUUGCACAUAGCAAAGAAAGCACAAGCUAAUGGUACGACCAGCGUCCCUCCUGGCUUCUCCCCUUCGGAUCGGCUUGCCGAACAAAAAGGGUAAAAUGCCCAUGGAAGAACAGGGUUCACAGACCAGCCCAAGGGGCAUAGCUAGGAGGCAAGGUAGGCCUCCAGUGGUCCGAUUUCUACCAGAUAUCCAGCUAUGCCGCGGGUUCAAGAGAGUGAGUGCAGAUACCAUCAGCAUUUCAGCAGCACAUCUCUGGCAAGUUUCCCAAGAAGAUCAUCCUGGGCAACACCGCCUUAACACAAUGGAAUCUAUAUUGACCAUGGAUUAUAUUGCUGAACGUCGUCAGCUACAAUGUCAAUAUGUAGGCAACAAUGGUGGGGAAAAUAGAUCAGCCAUAUUUUAUAAGCCGCUUCAUGGAAGCAGUAGAGUGUUAGUAUAUUAGCCAUUAUUGCGCUAUUCGUUUUUUUUUCUCGCUUUUGCUCACUGGGUCACACUAUUUUGUUUGCCAGCAUGAUGUUCUUAAUUAUUUAAUUAUAUAUCAUUGAUUGUAGUGACACUAUUAAGACCCUUAAGUAUAUUAAUCAUGUCUCGACCUACUGUGUUCAUUAUAUGGAUAACCCGUGUGUCUCUUUU